CAACGAGCGCAACCCUUAUCCUUUGUUGCCAGCGGUUAGGCCGGGAACUCAAAGGAGACUGCCAGUGAUAAACUGGAGGAAGGUGGGGAUGACGUCAAGUCAUCAUGGCCCUUACGAGUAGGGCUACACACGUGCUACAAUGGCGCAUACAAAGAGAAGCGACCUCGCGAGAGCAAGCGGACCUCAUAAAGUGCGUCGUAGUCCGGAUUGGAGUCUGCAACUCGACUCCAUGAAGUCGGAAUCGCUAGUAAUCGUAGAUCAGAAUGCUACGGUGAAUACGUUCCCGGGCCUUGUACACACCGCCCGUCACACCAUGGGAGUGGGUUGCAAAAGAAGUAGGUAGCUUAACCUUCGGGAGGGCGCUUACCACUUUGUGAU
rnacentral:rRNA from 1 species